rnacentral:rRNA from 1 species
AGUGAACGCUGGCGGUAGGCCUAACACAUGCAAGUCGAACGGCAGCACAGAGGAGCUUGCUCCUUGGGUGGCGAGUGGCAGACGGGUGAGGAAUACAUCGGAAUCUACUCUGUCGUGGGGGAUAACGUAGGGAAACUUACGCUAAUACCGCAUACGACCUACGGGUGAAAGCAGGGGACCUUCGGGCCUUGCGCGAUUGAAUGAGCCGAUGUCGGAUUAGCUAGUCGGCGGGGUAAAGGCCCACCAAGGCGACGAUCCGUAGCUGGUCUGAGAGGAUGAUCAGCCACACUGGAACUGAGACACGGUCCAGACUCCUACGGGAGGCAGCAGUGGGGAAUAUUAGACAAUGGGCGCAAGCCUGAUCCAGCCAUACCGCGUGGGUGAAGAAGGCCUUCGGGUUGUAAAGCCCUUUUGUUGGGAAAGAAAUCCAGCUGGCUAAUACCCGGUUGGGAUGACGGUACCCAAAGAAUAAGCACCGGCUAACUUCGUGCCAGCCGCCGCAGUAA